AGCUGUUGUCCCAGUUGAGAACUUCUCUAUUAUAGGAUUACUACUGCUGAAAUUUCUUUCUCAGGUAUCAUUGACAAUUCAUAAACAAACAAAAUGGCCUUAGACUACAGUAGUUAAAAGAAUGAUUUUUGUUUGUAUCUAACUACUUUUUGUUAGCCUUGCCCAACAAUCAAAUGGCCUUUUACCAAGGUCAUGGUCCCUAGAAAGAAGGCUACAAAGGAAGGCUGUGUGUCAACUAGGUGUGUUCUAAACAUCAUUUUUCCAGUUGGAGGAAUGCUGAGUUUGGAGAUGGCUGAUAAAUGUGUCAUCUGGAUAACAUUCUGAGAUUGAUAUAGCCCAGAGGACUGUAAAUCUUCAAGAAAACUUUGAGAGAUAUCAAGAACAUAAUAUUAGUUGGAAUGAACAAGAAAAAAAAUAAAACAUUCCUGCAGUUUCCCUUGAGAGAGUUCUGCAUGGCUGUUUCUUUAACUCAUGGCAAAGUAGAAAUUUCCAGCUGAGGAAUGCGUUUUUUUGCUUCUUUAGCUGCCUUGACCAAUGUAGUGAUGCUGACAGAGGCUAUAAAAAAUGUGGCUGUCCAAUCUUGGGCACUUUAUGUAACCUUGCUCCUAGGAGGCCGAGCACAUAUUCAGCAGGAAGGAACUUGCUGGCUCAGUUACCAUGAUUCAUGCCAACAAAUCAAAGAAUACUGCUAAUGAAUCACAAAAGGUGGAGAAUGCUAAACAGCAAUGCUUCUGUUACUCUGUUGUGGCUAUUAAUCAAGAUGAUGCAUUGCUAAGACAGCUGCCUGGGUAUGACAGGAAGCAAAUUGCUGUGUCUGCCUGUCAGAAGUUUAUUUGCUACUUUGAGUAUAUGGAACAUGAAUGUCAACUGAACGUAUUUAAAGAAAGUGCAAAUUAAACAUGAAGAUCUU
rnacentral:lncRNA from 1 species